AGCAGGGUCUGAGGGACUGCUGUAGGUCCAUCCACAUGGAGCAGGGUCUGAGGUCCAUCCGCAUGGAGCAGGGUCUGAGGUCCAUCCGCAUGGAGCAGGGUCUGAGGGACUGCUGUAGGUCCAUCCGCAUGGAGCAGGGUCUGAGGUCCAUCCGCAUGGAGCAGGGUCUGAGGGACUGCUGUAGGUCCAUCCGCAUGGAGCAGGGUCUGAGGGACUGCUGUAGGUCCAUCCG